ensembl:lncRNA
UACACAAAGAGGAAGCAUUAUAAUACAUUCUAAUUUUCUGUCUGUUGGUCCAGAAUCCCAUUAAGAAAAAUCUCUUUCCUGGUCAUCUUAGAAAUUUCUCAAGAGCAGGAACUAUGUUGCCCUGUAUCUAGUGUAUCCCCUCAUAGUGUUUAUUAGAAUAAACUCUCUUCUGUCUGAUAGGCACAGCUAAUGGGAUUGAUUUGGAGAGACUUAGAAUUAAAUCAUUCCUGCUCAUUAUUCCAUCAGGACUUCUGAAGUGAUCCACUGCAAUGCCUUUUUUUUUUCAAUGCCUCUUUGAUGGCAGUCUUUCUGCUCUGUUUUUACCUCACUCUCAGGGCCAUGAAAUCCAUGAACCAGAAUUACAUGUUUACAGCCACCAAAAGGGGGAACAUCUUAGAAUGGUGCAAUGGAAGAAUGAAGAAGACUGGCAGUCAGCCCCUGAAGCAGUUCUGGAGAAUAUUCAUAUAUUCUCUGGGAAGGAAGAGUUAGGAAUUCCAGAUGGACAAUGUCCCAGAAUUCAGUGGCAAGAGGAGUUUGGGGUAAAUACCAUUUGUGAAAUUGCAUAGUAAUUUUAGUGUUCUCAAACUACUUGCACUACAAAAGUCCAUUAAAUUUUUUUUAUAUAACUUGCUUUUACAUCACAUUCAUUUCUAAAGAUAGUCUUUGCCCAAACCUUUCCAAUAAGCUUUCUCUAAUAACAAAGAAUUAAAAAAUAAUUCAGCAAAACCAAACCACAUAUUGACUGUGUCUGACAAUCUAUGCAGCAUUCCACACUUCUAGUUUCCUAGCUUUUCUUUUUUUUUUUUGUUUUUGUUUUAGAAAACCCUUUCCUUCCAUCUUAGAAUCAAUAUUGUAUUGGUUCUGUGGCAGAAGAGUAAUAAUGGCUGGGCAAUAGGGGUUAAGUGACUUGCCCAGGGUCACAUAGCUAGGAAGUAUCUAAAGUCAAAUUUGAACCUAGGACCUCCCAUCUCUAGGCCUGGUUCUCAGUCCACUGAGCCAUCCAGUUGCCCCCUUUCCUAUCUUUUCAAUGAAACAAGGGAGAUGUACUUUUCAUCUCUUCAUCAUAAGUUAUCCCUUUUAACACCCACAUCCUCAUGGUAGUGUCCUAU